CUACGGGUGGCUGCAGUGGGGAAUAUUGCACAAUGGGCGCAAGCCUGAUGCAGCCAUGCCGCGUGUAUGAAGAAGGCCUUCGGGUUGUAAAGUACUUUCAGCGGGGAGGAAGGGAGUAAAGUUAAUACCUUUGCUCAUUGACGUUACCCGCAGAAGAAGCACCGGCUAACUCCGUGCCAGCAGCCGCGGUAAUACGGAGGGUGCAAGCGUUAAUCGGAAUUACUGGGCGUAAAGCGCAUGCAGGCGGUUUGUUAAGUCAGAUGUGAAAUCCCCGGGCUCAACCUGGGAACUGCAUCUGAUACUGGCAGGCUUGAGUCUCGUAGAGGGGGGUAGAAUUCCAGGUGUAGCGGUGAUAUGCGUAGAGAUCUGGAGGAAUACCGAUGGCGAAGGCGGCCCCCUGGACGAAGACUGACGCUCAGGUGCGAAAGCGUGGGGAGCAAACAGGAUUAGAUACCCGGGUAGUC
rnacentral:rRNA from 1 species